rnacentral:lncRNA from 1 species
UUAUGACCAAUCCUCCUAUGAACAUUAUCAUGCAUAUCUCCUGCUGCAGAUGUAAUGAUUUCUCUAGACAUGGGAUUGGUAGAUGGUAAGGAAAGUGCAGGUUUAAUUUUAUUAAAGUAGAAAAAAAGACAUUAUACUUUUAUUAAAUGAAGUCUUACUCAGCCCUCUCUCCAUCUUCUAAUCAAACAGCUCCACAAGCUAGUUAUUCUUUUCUAAUGUCGUAUAAUGAAAUGCUAGAGCCUGGCCUUCAAAAUAUUUUUUACAAUUAACUAAAAGAGUCAAAGAGAUCAAAACUGGUGCUCCACACCCACGCAGCCACUGGGAAAGAUGACACUCGGCAUCACAAAAGUGGUUUAAAGAAUCUGAUUGAUUUGGUUAAGAACUUUCAAAUAAAAACUGUCUUGUUCUAUGAAGAGUGGAUAUGUAUGUGUACAUUCAUCACUCUUUGCAACUCUGUUUGACCAAUAGGGUCUUGUUAGACUCCUACAACUCUAGGAAAUAAAUUGAUAAAUAAAAAUAUUUGUGCAAAUAACCACCAUGCGAAAAUAACCUCCAAAAAGAACCUCUAUCUGCCUGCUUGUCUUGAUAAUUUGCUGUCUUGGUUAUAAUGUUGUAAAUGACAUCUUCAUAUUCCUAAAAGUUACACACACUUGAAAGACAGAUGAGGCCAGGCACGGUGGGUCGCACCUGUAAUCCCAGCACUUUGGGAGGCCGAGGAGGAUGGAUCACGAGGUCAGGAGUUUGAGACCAGCCUGGCCAACAUGGUGAAACCCCGUCUCUACCAAAAAAUACAAAAAACAGCCGGGCAUGGUGGCGCACGCCUGUAGUCCCAGCUACUCAGGAGGCUGAGGCUGGAGAAUUGCUUGAACCCACAAGGUGGAGGUUGCAGUGAGCCGAGAUCUUCACUCUGUCACCCAAGCUGGAAUGCAGUGGU